GUCUUCUCCUUGGUACCCUACUCCUCCUCUCCUCUCCUCUCUUCUCUCUGUCUUCCCAUGUCUCCAUUCGACUUGAACCACGCUGCUGAUAUCCCUCUGUCGGAGGGAGAUCAAGAUCGAACCAGUCACCCUCUCUUCACAGUAGUAGCUGCAAACGAGACCUCUUCAUUCUCAUGUCCCAUUUUCUUCAACGACCCUCAUGAUCAUGGAGCGGAUGGUGGACACGACUCCCUCCCAAAACAGUUACCGCAACAAGAGCCCAAGGAUCACUCGUUGAUGAUCGGUGAGUUAAACUAUCACUGGGUAUGUACUACAGAAGAAGAGGAUGAGAUGGGGAUCAUGAAGAAGAUGAUGAUGAGUUCUGAAGGUGGAAAACCAAGAGGAGACCAAAUACAAGCUGAGCAAGUCAGAGUCUGCUCUAACUGUAGCACAACGAAGACUCCUCUGUGGAGAAGCGGCCCUCACGGCCCCAAGUCCCUCUGUAAUGCUUGUGGAAUACGACAGCGGAAGGCGAGACGGGCAAUGGAAGCUGCUGCCAUGAACAGUGGGGUGAUCCCCUCCGAUGCCACAAGCGGGACACACAGAGAGAAGAAGCAAGACAUGCAUGACAGUCGCGUCCCGUUUAAGAAGAGGAAGCUGCUCUUUCGUGGCACCAACUCAGCUGCACUCCACGAGGUGUUCCCACAGGAUGAAAGAGACGCGGCUACAUUGUUGAUGGCUCUCUCUUGUGGCCUAAUCCGGAGUUGAGCACUGCAUUCUCUUGUGUUGUUCGAGUUCUCUUAGUUGGCCUAAUCCGGAGUUGAUUACUACUUAACACUGUCCAUUAAGCAUUUGCGCAUUGUAAGAUGUCUUUAAUCCUUAUGUUAGUGGGAAACCCUAGAAGACAAACUAUAAUGUCCAAACCAAGUUGCAGUCCGUACUAAACAACAUACUAACUUCACGGCCGAUGUGCCUCACGCUUUGUUCCCGAGCGAGACGAAGAGCUGAGGAUCCAAAACAUUCU